ensembl:snoRNA Gm22748 predicted gene, 22748
GCAUGGGUUUGGAUUUAUGGCAGGCCUGUCUCCCUGGGGCUCUCAUACAUAGUGUUUUAUGCCAAAGCAAACUGUAUUCCUGAACCAUUGCCUGGCUUCUCCCUGUAGGCUGCUGGCACUGAAGUGGUCUGCCCUGAG